rnacentral:rRNA from 1 species
UGGGGGAUAUUGCACAAUGGGCGAAAGCCUGAUGCAGCGACGCCGCGUGGGGGAUGAAGGCCUUCGGGUUGUAAACUUCUUUUGCUCUGAACAAGGCGCACCAUGGGGUGUGUUGAGUGUAGGGGUUGAUUAGCGCCGGCUAACUACGUGCCAGCAGCCGCGGUAAUACGUAGGGCGCGAGCGUUGUCCGGAAUUAUUGGGCGUAAAGGGCUUGUAGGUGGCUGGUUGCGUCUGUCGUGAAAGCUCAUUGCUUAACUGUGGGUUUGCGGUGGGUACGGGCUGGCUUGAGUGCAGUAGGGGAGGCUGGAAUUCCUGGUGUAGCGGUGGAAUGCGCAGAUAUCAGGAGGAAUACCGGUGGCGAAGGCGGGUCUCUGGGCUGUUACUGACACUGAGGAGCGAAAGCAUGGGGAGCGAACAGG